UACGUAGGGAGCAAGCGUUGUCCGGAUUCACUGGGUGUAAAGGGUGCGCAGGCGGGAGAGUAAGUCAGAGGUGAAAUCUCACAGCUUAACUGUGAAACUGCCUUUGAUACUGCUUUUCUUGAGUUCGGGAGAGGUUGAUGGAAUUCCAGGUGUAGCGGUGAAAUGCGUAGAUAUCUGGAGGAACACCGGUGGCGAAGGCGGCGUUCUGGACUGCAACUGACACUGAGGAACGAAAGCCAGGGGAGCAAACGGG
rnacentral:rRNA from 1 species